rnacentral:rRNA from 1 species
GAUGAACGCUGGCGGCGUGCCUAAUACAUGCAAGUCGAGCGAACAGACGAGGAGCUUGCUCCUCUGACGUUAGCGGCGGACGGGUGAGUAACACGUGGAUAACCUACCUAUAGGCUGGGGUAACUUUGGGAAACCGGAGCUAAUAACGGAAAAUAUAUUGAACCGCCUGGGUCCAUAGGUGAAGAAGGGUUUUCUUGCACCUAUAGGAGGGUCCGCGCCGCAUUAGCUAGUUGGGAAGGUAACGGCUUACCAAGGCAACGAUGCGUAGCCGACCUGAGAGGGUGAUCGGCCACACUGGAACUGAGACACGGUCCAGACUCCUACGGGAGGCAGCAGUAGGGAAUCUUCCGCAAUGGGCGAAAGCCUGACGGAGCAACGCCGCGUGAGUGAUGAAGGUCUUCGGAUCGUAAAACUCUGUUAUUAGGGAAGAACAAAUGUGUAAGUAACUAUGCACGUCUUGACGGUACCUAAUCAGAAAGCCACGGCUAACUACGUG